AGAGUUUGAUCCUGGCUCAGGAUGAACGCUAGCGGCAGGCUUAACACAUGCAAGUCGAACGGUAACAUUGGUGCUUGCAUCAGAUGACGAGUGGCGAACGGGUGCGUAACGCGUAUGCAACUUACCUCUAAUUAAGGGAUAGCUCAGAGAAAUUUGAAUUAAUACCUUAUAAUAUCUAAGAAUCGCAUGAUUUUAAGAUUAAAGAACUUCGAUUAGAGAUGGGCAUGCGUGAUAUUAGCUAGUUGGUAGGGUAAUGGCUUACCAAGGCAACGAUAUCUAGGGGGUCUGAGAGGAUGAUCCCCCACACUGGUACUGAGACACGGACCAGACUCCUACGGGAGGCAGCAGUGAGGAAUAUUGGUCAAUGGACGCAAGUCUGAACCAGCCAUGCCGCGUGCAGGAUGAAUGCCCUAUGGGUUGUAAACUGCUUUUAUAUAGGAAGAAACCUUUUUAUUUAUAAAAAGCUGACGGUACUAUAAGAAUAAGCUCGCUAACU
rnacentral:rRNA from 1 species